rnacentral:tRNA from 1 species
UCUAAUAUGGCAGAUUAGUGCAAUGGAUUUAAGCUCCAUAUAUAAAGUGUUUAACUUUUAUUAGA